GACGAACGCUGGCGGCGUGCUUAACACAUGCAAGUCGAACGGAAAGGCCCUGCUUUUGUGGGGUGCUUGAGUGGCGCACGGGUGAGUAACACGCGAGUAACCUGCCCUUGACUUUGGGAUAACUUCAGGAAACUGGGGCUCAUAUCGGAUAGGAGCUCUUGCUGCAUGGUGGGGGUUGGAAAGUUUCGGCGGUUGGGGAUGGACUCGCGGCUUAUCCGCUUGUUGGUGGGGUAGUGGCUUACCAAGGCUUUGACGGGUAGCCGGCCUGAGAGGGUGACCGGCCACAUUGGGACUAAGAUACGGCCCAGACUCCUACGGGAGGCAGCAGUGGGAAAUAUUGCACAGUGGGCGGAAGCCUGAUGCAGCAACGCCGCGUGCGGGAUGACGGCCUUCGGGUUGUAAACCGCUUUCGCCUGUGACGAAGCGUGAGUGACGGUAAUGGGUAAAGAAGCACCGGCUAACUACGUG
rnacentral:rRNA from 1 species